GGAUGAACGCUGGCGGCGUGCCUAAUACAUGCAAGUCGAGCGAACAGAUAAGGAGCUUGCUCCUUUGACGUUAGCGGCGGACGGGUGAGUAACACGUGGAUAACCUACCUAUAAGACUGGGAUAACUUCGGGAAACCGGAGCUAAUACCGGAUAACAUAUUGAACCGCAUGGUUCAAUAGUGAAAGGCGGCUUUGCUGCCACUUAUAGAUGGAUCCGCGCCGUAUUAGCUAGUUGGUAAGGUAACGGCUUACCAAGGCAACGAUACGUAGCCGACCUGAGAGGGUGAUCGGCCACACUGGAACUGAGACACGGUCCAGACUCCUACGGGAGGCAGCAGUAGGGAAUCUUCCGCAAUGGGCGAAAGCCUGACGGAGCAACGCCGCGUGAGUGAUGAAGGUCUUCGGAUCGUAAAACUCUGUUAUCAGGGAAGAACAAAUGUGUAAGUAACUGUGCACAUCUUGACGGUACCUGAUCAGAAAGCCACGGCUAACUACGUG
rnacentral:rRNA from 1 species